GAUGAACGCUGGCGGCGUGCCUAAUACAUGCCAGUCGAGCGAACGGACGAGAAGCUUGCUUCUCUGAUGUUAGCGGCGGACGGGUGAGUAACACGUGGAUAACCUACCUAUAAGACUGGGAUAACUUCGGGAAACCGUAGCUAAUACCGGAUAAUAUUUUGAACCGCAUGGUUCAAAAGUGAAAGACGGUCUUGCUGUCACUUAUAGAUGGAUCCGCGCUGCAUUAGCUAGUUGGUAAGGUAACGGCUUACCAAGGCAACGAUGCAUAGCCGACCUGAGAGGGUGAUCGGCCACACUGGAACUGAGACACGGUCCAGACUCCUACGGGAGGCAGCAGUAGGGAAUCUUCCGCAAUGGGCGAAAGCCUGACGGAGCAACGCCGCGUGAGUGAUGAAGGUCUUCGGAUCGUAAAACUCUGUUAUUAGGGAAGAACAUAUGUGUAAGUAACUGUGCACAUCUUGACGGUACCUAAUCAGAAAGCCACGGCUAACUACGCG
rnacentral:rRNA from 1 species